rnacentral:tRNA from 1 species
AUCUCAUUUGCUCUGUUGGCUAGAGCAUCCCGAUUGCAAAUCGGGAGGGUCACUGGUUCAAGUCCAGUUUGAGGAGC